GAUGAAGAACGUAGCGUAAUGCGAUAAGUAAUGUGAAUUGCAGAAUUCAGUGAAUCAUCGAAUCUUUGAACGCACAUUGCGCCCGUCAGUAUUCUGGCGGGCAUGCCUGUUCGAGCGUCAUUACGCCCCUCAAGUCCCCUGUGGACUUGGUGUUGGGGAUCGGCGAGGCUGGUUUUCCAGCACAGCCGUCCCUUAAAUUAAUUGGCGGUCUCGCCGUGGCCCUCCUCUGCGCAGUAGUAAAACACUCGCAACAGGAGCCCGGCGCGGUCCACUGCCGUAAAACCCCCCAACUUUUUAUAGUUGACCUCGAAUCAGGUAGGACUACCCGCUGAACUUAAGCAUAUCAAUAAGCGGAGGA
rnacentral:misc_RNA from 1 species